rnacentral:rRNA from 1 species
GGUUAAGCGACUAAGCGUACACGGUGGAUGCCCUGGCAGUCAGAGGCGAUGAAGGGCGUGCUAAUCUGCGAUAAGCGCCGGUAAGGUGAUAUGAACCGUUAUAACCGGCGAUACCCGAAUGGGGAAACCCAGUGUGAUUCGUCACACUAUCAUUAACUGAAUCCAUAGGUUAAUGAGGCGAACCGGGGGAACUGAAACAUCUAAGUACCCCGAGGAAAAGAAAUCAACCGAGAUUCCCCCAGUAGCGGCGAGCGAACGGGGAGGAGCCCAGAGCCUGAAUCAGCAUGUGUGUUAGUGGAAGCGUCUGGAAAGGCGCGCGAUACAGGGUGACAGCCCCGUACACAAAAGCGCAUGUGCUGUGAGCUCGAUGAGUAGGGCGGGACACGUGGUAUCCUGUCUGAAUAUGGGGGGACCAUCCUCCAAGGCUAAAUACUCCUGACUGACCGAUAGUGAACCAGUACCGUGAGGGAAAGGCGAAAAGAACCCCGGCGAGGGGAGUGAAAAAGAACCUGAAACCGUGUACGUACAAGCAGUGGGAGCACAGGUUUACCUGUGUGACUGCGUACCUUUUGUAUAAUGGGUCAGCGACUUAUAUUCUGUAGCAAGGUUAACCGAAUAGGGGAGCCGGAGGGAAACCGAGUCUUAAUUGGGCGUUAAGUUGCAGGGUAUAGACCCGAAACCCGGUGAUCUAGCCAUGGGCAGGUUGAAGGUUGGGUAACACUAACUGGAGGACCGAACCGACUAAUGUUGAAAAAUUAGCGGAUGACCUGUGGCUGGGGGUGAAAGGCCAAUCAAACCGGGAGAUAGCUGGUUCUCCCCGAAAGCUAUUUAGGUAGCGCCUCGUGAAUUCAUCUCCGGGGGUAGAGCACUGUUUCGGCUAGGGGGCCAUCCCGGCUUACCAACCCGAUGCAAACUGCGAAUACCGGAGAAUGUUAUCACGGGAGACACACGGCGGGUGCUAACGUCCGUCGUGAAGAGGGAAACAACCCAGACCGCCAGCUAAGGUCCCAAAGUCAUGGUUAAGUGGGAAACGAUGUGGGAAGGCCCAGACAGCCAGGAUGUUGGCUUAGAAGCAGCCAUCAUUUAAAGAAAGCGUAAUAGCUCACUGGUCGAGUCGGCCUGCGCGGAAGAUGUAACGGGGCUAAACCAUGCACCGAAGCUGCGGCAGCGAACGUAUCACUUAAAGCGAUUCAGCGGGUUACGAUUGACGGAGCGAAGCGACGUCAAAGCGUAUACAAAGUCGAGUCGGUUUAAGGAUACGUUCGUUGGGUAGGGGAGCGUUCUGUAAGCCUGCGAAGGUGGCCUGUGAGGGUUGCUGGAGGUAUCAGAAGUGCGAAUGCUGACAUAAGUAACGAUAAAGCGGGUGAAAAGCCCGCUCGCCGGAAGACCAAGGGUUCCUGUCCAACGUUAAUCGGGGCAGGGUGAGUCGACCCCUAAGGCGAGGCCGAAAGGCGUAGUCGAUGGGAAACGGGUUAAUAUUCCCGUACUUGGUGUUACUGCGAAGGGGGGACGGAGAAGGCUAUGUUGGCCGGGCGACGGUUGUCCCGGUUUAAGCGUGUAGGUGUGUGUUCCAGGUAAAUCCGGUUCACUUUAACACUGAGGCGUGACGACGAGGCACUACGGUGCUGAAGCAACAAAUGCCCUGCUUCCAGGAAAAGCCUCUAAGCAUCAGGUAACAUCAAAUCGUACCCCAAACCGACACAGGUGGUCAGGUAGAGAAUACCAAGGCGCUUGAGAGAACUCGGGUGAAGGAACUAGGCAAAAUGGUGCCGUAACUUCGGGAGAAGGCACGCUGACACGUAGGUGAAGUGAUUUACUCACGGAGCUGAAGUCAGUCGAAGAUACCAGCUGGCUGCAACUGUUUAUUAAAAACACAGCACUGUGCAAACACGAAAGUGGACGUAUACGGUGUGACGCCUGCCCGGUGCCGGAAGGUUAAUUGAUGGGGUCAGCGCAAGCGAAGCUCCUGAUCGAAGCCCCGGUAAACGGCGGCCGUAACUAUAACGGUCCUAAGGUAGCGAAAUUCCUUGUCGGGUAAGUUCCGACCUGCACGAAUGGCGUAAUGAUGGCCAGGCUGUCUCCACCCGAGACUCAGUGAAAUUGAACUCGCUGUGAAGAUGCAGUGUACCCGCGGCAAGACGGAAAGACCCCGUGAACCUUUACUAUAGCUUGACACUGAACAUUGAGCCUUGAUGUGUAGGAUAGGUGGGAGGCUUUGAAGUGUGGACGCCAGUCUGCAUGGAGCCGACCUUGAAAUACCACCCUUUAAUGUUUGAUGUUCUAACGUGGACCCGUGAUCCGGGUUGCGGACAGUGUCUGGUGGGUAGUUUGACUGGGGCGGUCUCCUCCUAAAGAGUAACGGAGGAGCACGAAGGUUGGCUAAUCCUGGUCGGACAUCAGGAGGUUAGUGCAAUGGCAUAAGCCAGCUUGACUGCGAGCGUGACGGCGCGAGCAGGUGCGAAAGCAGGUCAUAGUGAUCCGGUGGUUCUGAAUGGAAGGGCCAUCGCUCAACGGAUAAAAGGUACUCCGGGGAUAACAGGCUGAUACCGCCCAAGAGUUCAUAUCGACGGCGGUGUUUGGCACCUCGAUGUCGGCUCAUCACAUCCUGGGGCUGAAGUAGGUCCCAAGGGUAUGGCUGUUCGCCAUUUAAAGUGGUACGCGAGCUGGGUUUAGAACGUCGUGAGACAGUUCGGUCCCUAUCUGCCGUGGGCGCUGGAGAACUGAGGGGGGCUGCUCCUAGUACGAGAGGACCGGAGUGGACGCAUCACUGGUGUUCGGGUUGUCAUGCCAAUGGCACUGCCCGGUAGCUAAAUGCGGAAGAGAUAAGUGCUGAAAGCAUCUAAGCACGAAACUUGCCCCGAGAUGAGUUCUCCCUGAGACUUAGAGUCUCCUGAAGGAACGUUGAAGACGACGACGUUGAUAGGCCGGGUGUGUAAGCGCAGCGAUGCGUUGAGCUAACCGGUACUAAUGAACCGUGAGGCUUAACCUU